rnacentral:rRNA from 1 species
AGAGUUUGAUCCUGGCUCAGAAUCAACGCUGGCGGCGCGCUUAACACAUGCAAGUCGCACGAGAAAGUGGAGCAAUCCAUGAGUAAAGUGGCGUACGGGUGAGUAACACGUGGAUCAUCUACCUCUUGGUGGGGAAUAACCUUGGGAAACCGGGGCUAAUACCGCAUAAGCCUGGAAAGGGAAAGCAGCAAUGCGCCGAGAGAGGAGUCCGCGGCCGAUUAGCUAGUUGGUAGGGUAACGGCCUACCAAGGCAAUGAUCGGUAGCCGGCCUGAGAGGGCACACGGCCACACUGGCACUGAAACACGGGCCAGACUCCUACGGGAGGCAGCAGUGGGGAAUCUUGCACAAUGGGGGANACCCUGAUGCAGCGACGCCGCGUGGGCGAUGAAGCCCUUCGGGGUGUAAAGCUCUUUCGGCAGGAACGAUAAUGACGGUAC